rnacentral:rRNA from 1 species
UUUUAUGAGAGUUUGAUCCUGGCUCAGGACGAACGCUGGCGGCGUGCCUAAUACAUGCAAGUCGAACGCUUCUUUUUCCACCGGAGCUUGCUCCACCGGAAAAAGAGGAGUGGCGAACGGGUGAGUAACACGUGGGUAACCUGCCCAUCAGAAGGGGAUAACACUUGGAAACAGGUGCUAAUACCGUAUAACAAUCAAAAUCGCAUGGUUUUGAUUUGAAAGGCGCUUUCGGGUGUCGCUGAUGGAUGGACCCGCGGUGCAUUAGCUAGUUGGU